CAGUCGCCGCGGUAAUACGAAGGGGGCUAGCGUUGUUCGGAUUUACUGGGCGUAAAGCGCACGUAGGCGGAUCGAUCAGUCAGGGGUGAAAUCCCAGAGCUCAACUCUGGAACUGCCUUUGAUACUGUCGAUCUGGAGUAUGGAAGAGGUGAGUGGAAUUCCGAGUGUAGAGGUGAAAUUCGUAGAUAUUCGGAGGAACACCAGUGGCGAAGGCGGCUCACUGGUCCAUUACUGACGCUGAGGUGCGAAAGCGUGGGGAGCAAACAGGAUUAGAUACCCGAGUAGUCCCUGUCUCUUAUAC
rnacentral:rRNA from 1 species